rnacentral:rRNA from 1 species
UACGUAGGGCGCAAGCGUUAUCCGGAAUUAUUGGGCGUAAAGAGCUCGUAGGCGGUUUGUCGCGUCUGCCGUGAAAGUCCGGGGCUCAACUCCGGAUCUGCGGUGGGUACGGGCAGACUAGAGUGAUGUAGGGGAGACUGGAAUUCCUGGUGUAGCGGUGAAAUGCGCAGAUAUCGGAAGGAACGCCGGUGGCGAAAGCGAGCCGCUGGACCUCAUCUGACGCUGAGGCGCGAAAGCCAGGGGAGCAAACAGG